rnacentral:rRNA from 1 species
UCCCCGGGCUCAACCNUGGGAACUGCGUUCUGAACUGGGUGACUAGAGUGUGUCAGAGGGAGGUAGAAUUCCACGUGUAGCAGUGAAAUGCGUAGAGAUGUGGAGGAAUACCGAUGGCGAAGGCAGCCUCCUGGGAUAACACUGACGUUCAUGCCCGAAAGCGUGGGUAGCAAACAGGAUUAGAUACCCUGGUAGUCCACGCCCUAAACGAUGUCGAUUAGCUGUUGGGCAGCAUGACUGCUUAGUAGCGAAGCUAACGCGUGAAAUCGACCGCCUGGGGAGUACGGUCGCAAGAUUAAAACUCAAAGGAAUUGACGGGGACCCGCACAAGCGGUGGAUGAUGUGGAUUAAUUCGAUGCAACGCGAAGAACCUUACCUGGUCUUGACAUGUACGGAACCCUCCAGAGACGGAGGGGUGCCUUCGGGAGCCGUAACACAGGUGCUGCAUGGCUGUCGUCAGCUCGUGUCGUGAGAUGUUGGGUUAAGUCCCGCAACGAGCGCAACCCUUGUCAUUAGUUGCCAUCAUUAAGUUGGGCACUCUAAUGAGACUGCCGGUGACAAGCCGGAGGAAGGUGGGGAUGACGUCAAGUCCUCAUGGCCCUUAUGACCAGGGCUUCACACGUCAUACAAUGGUCGGUACAGAGGGUAGCCAAGCCGCGAGGUGGAGCCAAUCUCACAAAACCGAUCGUAGUCCGGAUUGCACUCUGCAACUCGAGUGCAUGAAGUCGGAAUCGCUAGUAAUCGCAGGUCAGCAUACUGCGGUGAAUACGUUCCCGGGUCUUGUACACACCGCCCGUCACACCAUGGGAGUGGGGGAUACCAGAAGUAG